CAUGUUGUAGUUUGUUUAAUUACCUUUCUGCGUUUGUGAUUGUGGGUCUUUGGUUGAGACCCUCCCACUCCAGUUUCAUGCUCUUAUUUCAUUAUCAUAUUUCUAAUAUUCAUAGGACUGCAGACAUGGUGUACAACCUCUGUCUCUCCGUUCCUUUGGAAUAUUGAGGAGUCUUUGGAUGAACUCGCGUUUACCUCUGGCAUGUGUAGCUAGCAAACCUUCACGUGCAUGACGUGGGGGUGAUCAUCGAUGUUGUUGUUGGAUGAGCCAUAGCCAAUGUCAUCGCCGAUCGCAUCAUUUCGGAUGUCAUGACGGCGGUGCAGGGGGGAAGUCAACCAACUUUCCCAAGCUGAUAAAAAUCAACCAACCAGUUCUCUUGGUUGGGGAGUUAUUUGGGUGGUAACGAAGCAGUGGACGAGGCAAUCAAUCGAGCACACCAUUGAGACAUGGAUCAACCUCCACUCAUUGACGGAGUUGUGCUGACUUAGAUCAUUGAUGAUUAAAGUGAUGGCAGAUCUACCAGCUCACUUCACAUCAGAGAGCUCUCUUGAGAAGCACUAUAGA
rnacentral:lncRNA from 1 species